rnacentral:rRNA from 1 species
GCCGCGGUAAUACGGGGGGCGCAAGCGUUGCUCGGAAUCACUGGGCGUAAAGCGUACGCAGGCGGCGCGUUAAGUCGGGUGUGAAAGCCCGGGGCUCAACCCCGGAACUGCCUUUAAAACUGCCGGUCUAGAGUUCGAGAGAGGUGAGUGGAAUUCCGAGUGUAGAGGUGAAAUUCGUAGAUAUUCGGAGGAACACCAGUGGCGAAGGCGGCUCACUGGCUCGAUACUGACGCUGAGGUGCGAAAGCGUGGGGAGCAAACAG